rnacentral:ncRNA from 1 species
AAUUACGUUAAGUCUAAAUUAUAAUGGAGGCCCUACCAUCCAAUGUUUGGAGACCUAAAAUGGUCAUAUGGUUUACAAGUAUUUUAGACCUUGACUUUACCUAUUCCAGAUUUAAAGAGAAAAAUACAUAAUAUCAAAAACUCAGGUGAAGUGGAUUGUCAUAGUAACCGUUGGAAAAGAAAUCAACAGAGAUAUCGUCAGUAGUUGGGAGCGAACACGAUUAUGUUUUAGUUAAUACUUUAUAUAUAAAUUAACAACUGGCUGAGAAGCCUAUCAGAACUCGGUGAUAGUCCAUAAUGUAGUUUAUAUAUUCAGUGCCAAAUAUUGUUAAUUUUAUAAGUAAGGUAGUAAAUUUAUUGUGCUGCAUGAAAAUUGGGGUACCAUUCUCAAAAACUAAAUAUAAUUGGUGUGUUAUAGUGAACAAGUACUGCGAAGGAAAGGUGAAACAGAGACCGGUGGCGGAGUGAAAAGAGAUAAAAUGAUACUUUAGAUAAGCAGUUAUAUUUCAGUUGAAUUUAACGUACCUUUUGUAUAAUGGGCGGGCAACUUAACCGUUAAAGCAAGCUUAAGGAUUAUCAACGUAAGCUUAAUUAACGUAAGUAAUUUGCAAAUAGUUUUAUCGGUUACACCCGAAGCUUUGCGAUCUAGUUGUAGGCAGGUUACCAGGACUGAACCGGUAGCAGUGGAAAAUGCUUCGGAUGACUUACGACUAGGGGUGAAAGUCUAAUCAAGCUGAGUGAUAGCUGGUUCUCUGCGAAAUAUAUCUUAGUAUAGCAUUCAAUAAAAACAGCUGUAAAGCUACUCUAAUACACUUGCAUCUAUGCAAAGACUGGGGAAACUCAGAAUGCUGUUAGCAAUCUAUUGAAUAGACAGACUCUGGGUGCGAAGGUCCAGAGUCUAGAGGGAAACAGCCCUCAUC